UGCACGGUGGUACAGUGGUAGUACUGUUGCCUUGCAAGAAGAUCCUGGGUACGACUCCCAGCCGGGGGUCUUUCUGCAU